UACAGAGACUGCAAGCGUUAUUCGGAUUCACUGGGCGUAAAGGGUGCGCAGGCGGUUGGGUGUGUCAGAUGUGAAAUCCCGAGGCUUAACCUCGGAACUGCGUCUGAAACUACUCGACUAGAGUACUGGAGAGGGAAACGGAAUUCACGGUGUAGCAGUGAAAUGCGUAGAUAUCGUGAGGAACACCAGAGGCGAAGGCGGUUUCCUGGACAGUUACUGACGCUCAGGCACGAAG
rnacentral:rRNA from 1 species